CUUAAAAGCAACACUGUUUUUUUAACAGGGGGUUUCUGAAAACAUAACAGACACAUCACCAGCAGUCACUAACAUUUAUUGAAUUCUAGGCACAGUAACUAGCAUGUGCAACACUUAAUAAAUUUUAGUGUCUAUUAAAAUUCACACAAUGAAUAUACAUGUGCUAUUCUAAACAUGCGGAAUACAGCAGUGAACAGAAUGGACAAACAUCCUGGCUUGUGGUGCCUGUGUUCUAGUGAAAGAGGCAGACAAUACACAGGUAAAGAAAUAAGUAAAAUAUAGAGCAUGUUAGAUAAGUGCUAAAGGGUAAAACUAAGUGAGAGUCUCACUGGGGGAAGGGAGGUUAGAAUUGGGGGCUAAGUUGGUCAGAGAAGGUCUACCUCUGUAUGAUGGGUCAACAAGGAGGUUAUCUGUGGGAGAAAAUUCCAGAGGCUUGUGUGUGUCGGUGUUUGUUGAUCAUCAAGGGAGUACAGGGCAUGAGGUCUGGGAGGACCUCGUAGGUCACCAUAUGAGGACACUGGCUUUAAUGCCAUAUGAGGUGGAAGAAGAGAAAUGUACUAAAAGCCCACUAAAAGGAAGCAAGACCAGGUAAUAACCUAGGUAAAAGAUGAAGGUGGUUAGACCUAUGCCAGCAAUAGAUGUGGUGAGGAAGGUCAGAGGAUCACUUGAGUCCAGGAGUUCCACACUACAGUGAGCUGUGAGCUAUGAUCAUGCCACUACACUCCACCCUGGAGGAUGAAGUGAGAUCUCAUCUCAAAAACAAAACAAAACCCAACACAUUUGGGCUGAGCACUGGGAGGAAUGGAAAUGCCACUGGUGGGCUUGGGAACCAGGAGGAUGCCAAGUACUCUGUCAAGUGCUUUAUGCAUAUCAUCUCGUUCAAUCCUCAAGACAGCAUUAUAGAAACUAUAAUUUUCAUUUUGUAGGUAAGGAAACAAUGCUACUACAAUAGUCAAGUAACUUGGCCAAAGUCACUCAGUCAGCAGGCAGCUGUAGGGAUCUAAAUCAAGAAUGAUCUUCCAGUGUAAGACUGAGUAUAACCACAUGCUUCACCACCACAGUCAUGGCACCGACAGGCUGGUGGGACACAGAUGUGGUGACUUCUAAAUCAGAUCAUGAGUAAUUAGACAUCCAUGAUGGUUUGUUGAGAGGAGGGAAAUAGACAAUCCCUGGGCAUGCUGUAAAAGAGAAGGCCAAAAUGAUACCAUUUAGAAAUACACAUGUACACAGAGUACUCAUUUAUGAGCACAUGCAGAAAAAUAUCAAAAGUUAUAUGAACCCAAAUAUGAGCAUCAUUUAUCUCUGGUGAGAUGAUAAUUUGGUUUGUCUUUUUGUUUAUCCUUAUCUUCUAAUCUGCCUACAAGUCAAAUUGCUGGGAUUACUAACUUUAGAGAAAAAUCUACAAUUUCCCUAUAAUUCCUAUGGCUCAGUCCAUUAUUUAGGUCAUGAGACCUAAAAUUGUAAAUUAGAAAAGGUAGAAGCAAAGAAGACCACCAGUUCACCAACAUGAGAAUGAAAGGUGAGGCACAAUCUGGGACUGAAUCCAUCAUCUAGCCUUUAGAGUGUCCUUCCCCACUCCAAAAAAA
rnacentral:lncRNA from 10 species